UAUAAAUCCCUUUUUUUGGUUUGAUUUCAUCUUUGUGAAUGAAAAUGUGUGUCCACACAGAGCUCAGAUCGUAAUGAACAAACCUUCAUACGAUCGGAAUAGUACAAUGGAAUAACCAGCCAGAAGUCCCAGCCUUAAUUCACUAGAGAACAUUUGGGACGAGCACAAAAGGCGUAUUCGCACCUAAACAGCUAACACCUAGCAGCAUCGCUAAGCUAGAAGUUGCCGUAGCAAAAAAAAUGGAACAACAACGCCUCCAACAUCUUGUUAAAGGAAUUGGAAGAGGCAAAGAGGAGGCAACACAAGAUAAUGACAAAACUGGCCUUCAAUUAUCAUUGUACUAAGAUAGAGCAUCUACAAACUGCAACUACUCGGUUGGUGGCUGCACUGGUUCUCAUAACAGUUAUAAAUUUGUACAUCUUCAUCAACUACCCAACUCAGAAGAGGCCACUUUCCAACAUCAACAGACCUCUUUGGAGCCAGGAUAUCAACUUUGAAACAGCUAACAUAAAAAACGACACUGGUACUCCUGAUGGCUGCUACCUCGUCCCUAAUCACAUUCACUUCAUUCGGUUCGGAAAUCCGAGGUUCACUUAUCCCGAAAUGAUAUGCGUGUUGGCCGCUUUAAAGAACCAAAAGCCAGACAAAAUAACCUUUCAUCACAAUUUCAAUGGAUCAUUUACAGGGCCCUAUUGGAGAGUUCUCAGUAAACUCAAGGCAUUCACAGAUAUCGUAGAAUUCAACUAUGAAGAAGAGCCGAAAGAGAUAUUCGGGCAACCGAUAGAUCCUGCCUUGAGAAAGUUCCACGGUUCAGAUAUAACGAGAAUAAGAAUAUUAAUGAAGUAUGGUGGGAUAUUUCUUGACAACGACUGUUACGUGAUAAAAAACCUAAACAGUUUCCGGAAGUAUGAAAUGACUCUGAACUGGGAUCAAGACCAAUACCUAGGCACACAAGUACUUCUGGCCCACAAAGACGCGAGAUUCCUGAAAAUGUGGCUGGACUCCUACAGGGGAGCGUACAGAGGAGACCUAUGGUACUACAAUGCAGGGGAACGACCCACUACGGAGAUUCUCUGGCGGAGACCAGAACUCAUCCACAGGGUGAAGGUUCAGUUCGGUGUAGACACACACUGGAUAGAGCAAGUGUUCCAGGAGUCAUGGACCGGAUGGAGACGUCUCCAUGCUCUCCAUCUGCUGAUACACCACCAGUACUUAUUGGCAAAUUUGACAGCGAAGGCAACAUUCCCAGUACAAUUCAAUCAACACAAUAUUGCUUAUUACCCCAUCACGUUCAGGGAAAUGGCUUAUGACGUUUAUGAAACAGGUAACAUACCGUGGCCAAAAGAGUACAAAGAUUAAAACGUCAUAAGAUUACUUCUAAAAACAAAUCAUAAUGUUGCACCAUACAUCAAAAUACUGUGAUCACACAUAAUUAAAAGAUAUUUAUCAAGAAAUGAUAAAGAGUGAUAAGAUUAAUCCUUAAAGGACUAUGGGGAAAUCUGUUACCGUUUUCUUUUUCGGACCUACAGGCUAAUUGAUUAACCUCAACAAUUAAUGAAAAAAAAAGGCUACAGCCCAGUUCAGCCAGUUCAUCGGCUCGUUUUAGUCCUCAUAUUUAUAUACAUUAUUCAUAUUAACUCAACUUUAGACAUUUAAGAUAUUAACUAAAGAUACCUUUAAUACAAAAUAAAAACAAAUUUCAACUUAAUUAUGAUAAUAUAUGUAUGUGUCUUAAUUAAAUCUAAAAUUUCUUGUUUUAUGUUCAGUCGAUCAAUAUUGUGCAUUAAACCAGUUUUAGAUAAAUUUUGUAAAUAAUAUCGACCUGAAUUGAACUUUAUAUUUAUAACAGGUAAGUUAUCUUCUUACACAAUAAAUUAGAAUGGUUGUAAACUAACAAAGGCAUAAAGAUAUUAUUUUUUGUAAAUCAAAGUAAACUGUAAAUAUAACCAUUUUUGUACAGAUUGUUGUUUAUUUAUUGUUGUAAAAUAUUAAAACGCAUUCAAGAGUCAAUGGGAACCAAAUAUUGAUCAAUCUUACUGAAUGUGUUCAUUCUGUGCCAGUAGUGUAGCAAGGUGAAGUCCAGGGGGUCCGGACCUCCCCGAAAUAUUAAGGCAUUAAGUACAGAGCAGGGGAAAGGAAGGAGAGUUAUUAUUCCUCUUGUCUACAAAUAUUAAAUAAUCAUACCACUGUUAAAAAUAGGUGUGUUCUUUUUUUAAUCAGUUUAACAAACGAUAAAUUAUUAAACGAUACAUUAAGCUUCUGCCGGCCAGGUAGUGUAAUGGCAGUGUCUAAAUACCUAGCCGAAUUUCGAGUGUGGACUAUCUACUACCUAGUUUGCAAGGCAGCCAUGCCUAAGACCCGUUGCCCAGCACUAGUGGAAGAUCCAUUGUUCCCCCCGUAACUGUUAAGCACGCCGGUUCGCUGUCCACCAUUACAAUUACAGCUGAAGAUUUGCUUGUGUGUAGUUGAGGUAGUGACUUCUGCAUACCGUCAGGUAAUUUAUACUUUGUAGUGACAGUAACAGGAUGAACGUUGUUUUUUUUUUUAAGGAAUCGAGUUUUGUUGUACUGAUAGAAGAAACCGCCGUUGGCACGAUUUCUAUAAGAAGAAUGCAGUACGUUUACACCAACUCUGUAUUGUUCAUCGGCUCGUGACCAAUCCAGUACUAGCAGGCCUACAGAUUCUUAAACAGCCUCUGCUUUUUGACGCUCCUUUUGCCUUUGUGCAAAAUAUUUCUUGAACGCUCUUUGGAUGACUCGAGCAUAGACGUUGAACCUGCGCUCUCUCUGCUCCUCCAGCAGAAACAACUG
rnacentral:misc_RNA from 1 species